GUAGUCUCGCACAGAUGCAUAUCAAUAAGCGGAGGAAAAGAAACUAACAAGGAUUCCCCUAGUAACGGCGAGUGAAGCGGGAAGAGCUCAAAUUUGAAAUCUUCAAGGUUCUACCUUGACGAAUUGUAGUUUAAAGAAGUGUUUUCUGUUAGAUGAGUAGCAAAAGUUCUUUGGAAUAGGACAUCAUAGAGGGUGAGAAUCCCGUAUUUGACCUUUACUUUCAACUUUGUGAUACACUUUCAAAGAGUCGGAUUGUUUGGGAAUGCAGUCCAAAAUGGGUGGUAAAUUUCAUCUAAAGCUAAAUAUUGGCGAGAGACCGAUAGCGAACAAGUACCGUGAGGGAAAGAUGAAAAGAACUUUGAAAAGAGAGUUAAACAGUACGUGAAAUUGUCAAAAGGGAAGCGUUUGACACCAGUGUUGUUUUUCUGAAAAUCAAUUAAAGAACUGUUUAUGCUAAGCUGUUUAGACUUUAUCAGCUAUCUGUUUAGUUUUGAGCUUUUCUUUAAUGCACUUUUCAGUUAACAAGUCAACAUCAAUUUCUUUUGCUGUAAAAAAGCUUGAGGAAGGUGGCUUGAGAUUCGUCUUAAGUGUUUAUAGCCUCUUGCCUAUGCAGUCGGAGAGAUUGAGGUCUGCAGCGUAGAUCCUUCGGGGCUAAAUGCAUUUGUGCUAAGUUAUAGCAUUUUAUAGGACAACUUGUUGACUAUGAUUUGUCUUGUAGCUUACUCGCUUAUGUUAUUUUACCUACGCUUAGGAUGUUGACGCGCGUGUGUGCGUG
rnacentral:rRNA from 1 species